UACGUAGGGCGCAAGCGUUGUCCGGAAUUAUUGGGCGUAAAGAGCUCGUAGGCGGUCUGUUACGUCUGCUGUGAAAACCCAGGGCUUAACCCUGGGCUUGCAGUGGAUACGGGCAGACUAGAGGCAGGUAGGGGAGAAUGGAAUUCCCGGUGUAGCGGUGAAAUGCGCAGAUAUCAGGAGGAACACCGGUGGCGAAGGCGGGUCUCUGGGCCGAUACUGACGCUGAGGAGCGAAAGCGUGGGGGAGCAAACAGG
rnacentral:rRNA from 1 species